GACCUGGGUAACGUGGCAUCUGGUUGGCCCGCCUCAUAUCGUCCUUGUUUAUCUCAGCUUGGCUUUUGGGCUGUGCCCAUGCCUGGUUCAUGCCAUGGACAUGUGG